CCAGAAUCUGCCAGAUGGAGGAUGAGAAGCUCCACCGAGGUUCGACGUCUGAACGAAGUGAAGGCGAACAGCGGCAGCGCUGGCCCCAAAGGGGUGAGGCCCAAUGGGCCGAAUAAUCCUCCAUCCCCAGCCA
rnacentral:sRNA from 1 species